ACGCUCGACACCUACGGGAGGAGCAGUAGGGAAUCUUCCACAAUGGACGCAAGUCUGAUGGAGCAACGCCGCGUGAGUGAAGAAGGUCUUCGGAUCGUAAAACUCUGUUGUUAGAGAAGAACACGAGUGAGAGUAACUGUUCAUUCGAUGACGGUAUCUAACCAGCAAGUCACGGCUAACUACGUGUCAGCAGCCGCGGUAAUCUGAGCGGGCUGGCAAGGC
rnacentral:rRNA from 1 species